GGCCCCGUCGUCUAGAGGCCUAGGACGCCGCCCUCUCAAGGCGGUAACGCGGGUUCGAAUCCCGUCGGGGCUACAA
rnacentral:tRNA from 1 species